rnacentral:rRNA from 1 species
GACGGAGGGUGCGAGCGUUGUCCGGAAUCAUUGGGCGUAAAGGGCGCGUAGGUGGCCCGGUCAGUCUUUGGUGAAAGCGCGGGGCUCAACCCUGCGUCGGCCAGGGAUACUGCCGCGGCUCGAGCACUGUAGAGGCAGGCGGAAUUCCUGGUGUAGCGGUGAAAUGCGCAGAUAUCAGGAGGAACACCGGUGGCGAAGGCGGGUCUCUGGGCCGUAACUGACGCUGAGACGCGAAAGCGUGGGGAGCAAACAGG